GGCUCAGGACGAACGCUGGCGGCGUGCUUAACACAUGCAAGUCGAACGAUGAAGGAGGAGCUUGCUCCUCCGGAUUAGUGGCGAACGGGUGAGUAACACGUGAGCAAUGUGCCCUUGACUCUGGAAUAAGCGCUGGAAACGGCGUCUAAUACCGGAUAUGACCUGCGGAGGCAUCUCCUGCAGGUGGAAAGAACUUCGGUCAAGGAUCAGCUCACGGCCUAUCAGCUAGUUGGUGAGGUAAUGGCUCACCAAGGCGACGACGGGUAGCCGGCCUGAGAGGGUGACCGGCCACACUGGGACUGAGACACGGCCCAGACUCCUACGGGAGGCAGCAGUGGGGAAUAUUGCACAAUGGGCGCAAGCCUGAUGCAGCAACGCCGCGUGAGGGACGACGGCCUUCGGGUUGUAAACCUCUUUUAGCAGGGAAGAAGC
rnacentral:rRNA from 1 species